rnacentral:rRNA from 1 species
UGAGUAAACGCGUGGGAAAAUCUACCCCCAUCACUACGGAACAAUCGGGAAACUGGAGCUAAUACCGUAUACGUCCUUCGGGAGAAAGAUUUAUCGGUGAUGGAUGAGCCGCGUUGGAUUAGCUAGUUGGUGGGGUAAUGGCCUACCAAGGCGACGAUCCAUAGCUGGUCUGAGAGGAUGAUCAGCCACACUGGGACUGAGACACGGCCCAGACUCCUACGGGAGGCAGCAGUGGGGAAUAUUGGACAAUGGGCGCAAGCCUGAUCCAGCCAUGCCGCGUGAGUGAUGAAGGCCCUAGGGUUGUAAAGCUCUUUCAACGGUGAAGAUAAUGACGGUAACCGUAGAAGAAGCCCCGGCUAACUUCGUGC